CAUGCAAGUCGUACGAGAAAGGGUCCUUCGGGACCUGAGUAAAGUGGCGCACGGGUGAGUAACGCGUGGAUAAUCUGCCCUUCAGUUAGGAAUAACUCAUCGAAAGGUGGGCUAAUACCGAAUGAUACUGCGAGACUUUGGUCGAGCAGUCAAAGAGAGCCUCUGCUUGCAUGCCCUCGCUGAAGGAUGAGUCCGCGUACCAUUAGCUAGUUGGUAGGGUAAUGGCCUACCAAGGCGACGAUGGUUAGCUGGUCUGAGAGGAUGAUCAGCCACACUGGAACUGAGACACGGUCCAGACUCCUACGGGAGGCAGCAGUGAGGAAUCUUGCGCAAUGGGGGCAACCCUGACGCAGCAACGCCGCGUGAGUGAGGGAGGUCUUCGGAUCGUAAAGCUCUGUCAGAUGGAAAGAACCACACGGGGAUAAAUAGUCCUCGUGUCUGACGGUACCAUCAGAGGAAGCACCGGCUAACUCCGUGCCAGCAGCCGCGGUAAUACGGGGGGUGCAAGCGUUGUUCGGAAUUAUUGGGCGUAAAGAGCGUGUAGGCGGCCUGAUAUGUCAGAUGUGAAAGCCCUGGGCUCAACCCAGGAAGUGCAUUUGAAACUGUCAGGCUCGAGUAGGGGAGAGGGAAGUGGAAUUCCUGGUGUAGAGGUGAAAUUCGUAGAUAUCAGGAGGAACACCGGUGGCGAAGGCGAUUUCCUGGCCCUAUACUGACGCUGAGACGCGAGAGCGUGGGUAGCAAACAGGAUUAGAUACCCUGGUAGUCCACGCCGUAAACGAUGUUCACUAGGUGUUGGGGGUAUUGACCCCCUCAGUGCCGGAGCUAACGCAUUAAGUGAACCGCCUGGGGGAGUACGGUCGCAAGAACUAA
rnacentral:rRNA from 1 species